GACAUAAACAGCCAUAUAAUAAGACAAAACUAUUCCAAGAUUUGCAGUCAUGUGAAGAGAUCCACAAGUAUACUUUCUCUCCAGCGGUACUUUCACUUUCAGUAAAUUAGUACAGCCAGGGUUGCCAACUCUCACGCAUCUGGCGUGACACUCACGCUUUCAGCAUCAAUCUCACGCUCUCACGCACACGCAAGAAAUGUCACGCCAAAAUCCAUUUUUCUCCCCUCUCAAUCCGUUACUUUCUGUUGAUGACUAGAUCACAGCGUUUUAAUGACAGGAGAGGAGUUUAAGGCCCACAGCUGUUACAUCUCCCUACAGUAUUCUCUGAUCGUUGAUUGGCUGAAAACCUUGCACCUGAUACGUCAGUUGCGUGUGAGAAGUUCAGAGAGAGUUCUGAACAUAGGGUCGGAGUCGGCACGUGUGAAAGUUUGGAAGACAAUCAAGCUGUCACCUGUUUACUUUGUGAGAAGAUGCAAUGGAAUGAAAGCCUGUUGACUGAAUCAUUCAGCCAGCGUGAGUGAACCGAUCAUCUCUCCCACGGCACGAAAACACGGAUGAACAUCGGAAGGAUGAAGAGCUGCUGGAUUCAGUGCAGCAGGAAGUAGGAGAGCAGAGAACAGCAGAGGAACAGGAAGCUCUGGGAGACACUCUGAGCACCGUUACACAGGUUCCCCUCACAACAUGAGAAGCUCCCAAAAUCA